rnacentral:rRNA from 1 species
AGCAGCCGCGGUAAUUCCAGCUCCAAUAGCGUAUAUUAAAGUUGCUGCAGUUAAAAAGCUCGUAGUUGAAUUUCGGGAUCAAUAUGUUGGUCGUGCCUCGGUACGUACUAGCUUAUUGGUUUCUUCCUUCUGACGAACCAUAAUGUCAUUUAUUUGGUGUUAUGGGGAAUCAGGACUGUUACUUUGAAAAAAAUUAGAGUGUUUAAAGCAGGCUCACGCUUGAAUACAUUAGCAUGGAAUAAUGAAAUAGGACGUUUGAUUCUAUUUUGUUGGUUUCUAGGAUCGACGUAAUGAUUAAUAGGGAUAGUUGGGGGCAUUAGUAUUCAAUUGUCAGAGGUGAAAUUCUUGGAUUUAUUGAAGACUAACUACUGCGAAAGCAUUUGCCAAGGAUGUUUUCAUUAAUCAAGAACGAAAGUUAGGGGAUCGAAGACGAUCAGAUACCGUCGUAGUCUUAACCAUAAACUAUGCCGACUAGGGAUCGGAUGAUGUUAAUUUUUUAAUGACUCAUUCGGCGCCUUAC